GCGGCGUGCUUACACAUGCAGUCGAGCGGUAAGGCCCUUCGGGGUACACGAGCGGCGAACGGGUGAGUAACACGUGGGUGAUCUGCCUCGCACUCUGGGAUAAGCCUGGGAAACUGGGUCUAAUACCGGAUAUGAGCAGCCUCUGCAUGGGGGCUGUUGGAAAGGUUUACUGGUGCGAGAUGGGCCCGCGGCCUAUCAGCUUGUUGGUGGGGUAACGGCCCACCAAGGCGACGACGGGUAGCCGACCUGAGAGGGUGACCGGCCACACUGGGACUGAGACACGGCCCAGACUCCUACGGGAGGCAGCAGUGGGGAAUAUUGCACAAUGGGCGAAAGCCUGAUGCAGCGACGCCGCGUGAGGGAUGACGGCCUUCGGGUUGUAAACCUCUUUUGACAGGGACGAAGCGCAAGUGACGGUACCUGUAGAAGAAGCACCGGCCAACUACGUGCCAGCAGCCGCGGUAAUACGUAGGGUGCGAGCGUUGUCCGGAAUUACUGGGCGUAAAGAGCUUGUAGGCGGUCUGUCACGUCGAUUGUGAAAACUUGCAGCUCAACUGCAAGCUUGCAGUCGCAUACGGGCAGACUAGAGUACUUCAGGGGAGACUGGCAUUCCUGGUGUAGCGGUGACAUGCGCAGAUAUCAGGAGGCACACCGGUGGCGAAGGCGGGUCUCUGGGAAGUAACUGACGCUGAGAAGCGAAAGCGUGGGUAGCGAACAGGAUUAGAUACCCUGGUAGUCCACGCCGUAAACGGUGGGUACUAGGUGUGGGUUUCCUUCCACGGGAUCCGUGCCGUAGCUAACGCAUUAAGUACCCCGCCUGGGGAGUACGGCCGCAAGGCUAAAACUCAAAGGAAUUGACGGGGGCCCGCACAAGCGGCGGAGCAUGUGGAUUAAUUCGAUGCAACGCGAAGAACCUUACCUGGGUUUGACAUACACCGGAAAGCCAUAGAGAUAUGGCCCCCCUUGUGGUCGGUGUACAGGUGGUGCAUGGCUGUCGUCAGCUCGUGUCGUGAGAUGUUGGGUUAAGUCCCGCAACGAGCGCAACCCUUAUCUUAUGUUGCCAGCGCGUAAUGGCGGGGACUCGUGAGAGACUGCCGGGGUCAACUCGGAGGAAGGUGGGGACGACGUCAAGUCAUCAUGCCCCUUAUGUCCAGGGCUUCACACAUGCUACAAUGGCCGGUACAGAGGGCUGCGAUACCGCGAGGUGGAGCGAAUCCCUUAAAGCCGGUCUCAGUUCGGAUCGGGGUCUGCAACUCGACCCCGUGAAGUUGGAGUCGCUAGUAAUCGCAGAUCAGCAACGCUGCGGUGAAUACGUUCCCGGGCCUUGUACACACCGCCCGUCACGUCAUGAAAGUCGGUAACACCCGAAGCCAGUGGCCUAACCCUU
rnacentral:rRNA from 1 species